GGCGGCGGCAGGUGUGGAUGGGGCGAAGGUGCGGGAACGUCCACUCCCGCGCGCCCCUCUCGGGGACCAGGGCGGCCUCCCAGGAGGAGCUUGGUUUCUGGUCCUCAUACCGUGUGGUUGAGUGAAAUCAAAACUUCCACGAUAGCAAUGCUGAUUGGACAAAGAAUGUGUUGUGGACACAAAACCAAACUCUGGAGGACAGAGGAUUCAUUCCAAGGGUCUGCUUGUAUUCAAUGACUGGUCUACGUGGGGGUGUGAAGUCCCCUUACUCCACCUGUGAAGAGUCUUCCCAGUUUCAGACCACCCUCCCAGCCUCCUGUUAUUGGCUAAGGCCAUUUUGUGACUACACUGCAGGGAAGCUGUAUCAAGACCUAAAUUUAACAGUUUCCUUUGAUUGCAUUGGCCCCAUGAAAAAUUUUCCCUGCAGUGGAAUGACUUGUUGGCUCCAAGGAAGAAACCACAAGAGGCAGCAGGUAGAGACAGAUUCUCUGGAAGUACCUUCUCAAGGCCAGUGUAGAGCUCCCAAUCACCCAGCAGAUUCUCCCUCUCCCACUGCCCGCACCAAGCAGGUCUCCAGGUGUUCCAGCUGCUGAUGAAGUCCAGUGUGGAGUUGGUCCAGGAGGGUCGUGUUCCAGGCAGCAGAGGAGCGCUCUGUGUGGAAGAGGCUGAAGAUCUGCUGCAGCAUCUCAUGGAGGACAGACAGGGCCUGGGCCUGCUGCAACUGGCUGUCAUACACAUCUCCAGGGGAAACCUGAAGUCUCUUCUGUCCUUGAGACACAAGAAAGGGGAGAUCCAUUUCAUUUGGCCCAGAAGCACCAACGUCUUCCUUCCUGUCAGACCAUGGUUCUGAGUCAGGUCACAUCCCAGAGAUCAAAAAGAGCCACAGCUGCACACAACUAGGACCACCACUAGAGAGUGAAGAUGGAGUCUCAGUCACCAGGCUGGAGUGCAGUGGCACAAUCUCAGCUCACUGCAACCUUCACCUCCUGGGUUCAAGCAAUUCCCCUGCCUCAGCCUCUCGAGUAGCUGGGACUACAGGUGCUCACCACCAUGCCUGGCUAAUUUUUUUUAUUUUAGUAGAGUCGGGGUUUCACCAUGUUGGCCAGGCUGGUCUCGAUCUCCUGAUCUCAUGAUCCACCUGCCUCGGCCUCCCAAAGUGCUGAGAUUAUAGGUUUGAGCCACCAUGACUGGCCGAAUUUUUGUAACUUCUUUUCACAUAGUGGUUUACUGGGUAAGGUGUAUCUUGCUUCUCCUACAUGAUAUUCUUAUUUAUGAUGAAUUAAAACAAAUAAAGAAAAGUAAAAGAAAGGCAAAGGAA
rnacentral:lncRNA from 1 species